UACGAAGGGGGCUAGCGUUGCUCGGAAUCACUGGGCGUAAAGGGUGCGUAGGCGGGUUUUUAAGUCAGGGGUGAAAUCCUGGAGCUCAACUCCAGAACUGCCUUUGAUACUGAAAAUCUUGAGUCCGGGAGAGGUGAGUGGAACUGCGAGUGUAGAGGUGAAAUUCGUAGAUAUUCGCAAGAACACCAGUGGCGAAGGCGGCUCACUGGCCCGGUACCGACGCUGAGGCACGAAAGCGUGGGGAGCAAACAGG
rnacentral:rRNA from 1 species